GGACUGUGAAGAUUUCUGUGAUAGGUCUCGUUCGUCGUAAUUGGUCUUUUUCGACCUUGCCGACCAUCCUGUUAUAUCACCACCCAUAUUCUGAGUCCUUUCUUCAUAAUCACAAUUACUUAUUUUUAUUUGAAAUUAUAAAUUUUUGUUGAUUUUUCAUUCUUAUUUUUUAACUUUUUAUAACUUUUGAUAUUGUUAUUGUUAUUGUUAUUUUUGUGUGCUACUUAUUUUUCUUAUGACGUAGUGCAUGAUUUUUAUGCCAAUUUUUGGAUCAUUUUCAUAUGGUCAUAUGAUUAUUGUCUAUGAUGAUAUCUUGAAGGCUUGUUUCUCAAAACAUUCGCAGUGGCCGCCUAAGAGCUUUCGCCUUCGCCAGGCUUGAGAGCUAGUGCUGUUUUAUCCUUCCUUGGAUGUCUGAGACA
rnacentral:lncRNA from 1 species